rnacentral:rRNA from 1 species
CACGAGGGCUUUACUGUCUCCUUUCUCCAAUCAGUGAAACUGAUCUCCCCGUGAAGAAGCGGGGAUGACAAUAUAAGACGAGAAGACCCCAUGGAGCUUUAAACCCAACGACACCCCUCAACCCCCCAACCCAUUAUAGUUGCUACAGCCCUGUUCGUUGGUUUUAGGUUGGGGUGACCGCGGAGUAUAAAUUACCCUCCACGACGAAUGGGACUACCCCCUUACCCAAGAGCUACUCCUCUAAGGAUCAACAGAUUGACGUAAAAUGAUCCAAGCAUUUGAUCAACGGACCAAGUUACCCUGGGGAUAACAGCGCAAUCCAUUUCAAGAGCUCCUAUCGACAAAUGGGUUUACGACCUCGAUGUUGGAUCAGGGUACCCAAGUGGUGCAGCCGCUACUAAUGGUUUGUUUGUUCAACAAUUAAAACCCU